GAUGAACGCUGGCGGCGUGCCUAAUACAUGCAAGUCGAGCGAAUGGAUUAAGAGCUUGCUCUUAUGAAGUUAGCGGCGGACGGGUGAGUAACACGUGGGUAACCUGCCCAUAAGACUGGGAUAACUCCGGGAAACCGGGGCUAAUACCGGAUAACAUUUUGAACCGCAUGGUUCGAAAUUGAAAGGCGGCUUCGGCUGUCACUUAUGGAUGGACCCGCGUCGCAUUAGCUAGUUGGUGAGGUAACGGCUCACCAAGGCGACGAUGCGUAGCCCGCCUGAGAUGGUGGUCGACCACACUGGGACUGAGACACGGCCCAGACUCCUACGGGAGGCAGCAGUAGGGAAUCUUCCGCAAUGGACGAAAGUCUGACGGAGCAACGCCGCGUGAGUGAUGAAGGCUUUCGGGUCGUAAAACUCUGUUGUUAGGGAAGAACAAGUGCUAGUUGAAUAAGCUGGCACCUUGACGGUACCUAACCAGAAAGCCACGGCUAACUACGUGCCAGCAGCCGCGGUAA
rnacentral:rRNA from 1 species